rnacentral:lncRNA from 1 species
AUUAAUUCAACUUCAAAUUCACGAUUUUCUCAGUUCUAAACACUGAUUCAAACCGAUACCGAACUAAUUUCACGUAUAAUCUGCCAAGAUUUUUAUUUUUUAGGUCAAUUUCUUUGAUGAAAAAGUCAAAAAAUAAAAAAAAUGAAUACCAAUCAAAUAACGAAUCAAGCAAAACUUAAGCUUGAAGAAACCCAUACAUACCGAUAAUAGACACCAGAGCCGGAGAACAACCGCCGACGUCGGAUAUAUGUUUAGACCUCGCAAAUGGAUGGGUGUGGGCGGGUUUAUGUGGCCUGAAAUCUAGCCCUGCUUCAUAAUCUCCGUCGCUCGAACAUUCAGAAUUCUGGGCUGCUUUUUCCGAAGAUGAUGAGCAAGAGAGACGUCGAUAAUUUGGGGAUUUUGGGCAGAGGGAGAGAUAUGUGAUAAUGGGGUUUGAAGAGAUCUGAUACUUGAAACCAAGGACGGAAAGAAUCGGAACACCCGGAAAAGGAAUCGACUGAAAUUAGAAGAAAGAGGAAGAGGAAGAAGAUGGGAAAUCUGAAAAGAGACGAAGAGGGCGGCGGCUGGGGAGGUGGAGGAGUAGGAGGAAGAAGAAGGGCCGCUGAAGGGAACAGGUAUAUGGAAAUGGAAGUGAAAUAGGGGUGAGGGUAGUGAAGAAGAGGAAGAGGAAGAGGAAGAGGAAGAGGAAGUGGAAUUAGAGAGGAACGGUUUUGUGGAUUGAAGGCUCGAUUCAAAUUUAGUUUAGCGUUUCAAUUGAGCGAGUUAAUUUCAAAUUAAAAUUGAUUUUAAAUUGAGUGAAUUACUCACCCAAUUAUAUAA